rnacentral:rRNA from 1 species
GGGGGCGCGAGCCCCCCGCGGGAACUGUGGCGUAAGGAAGUCCGGCCCCGAGGCCGCGGCGGCGCCGAGGUCCUUCUGAUCGAGGCCCCCUCCGUCCCAGGGCGGGUGUCAGGCCCCUGCGGGCGCCGUCCGGCCGCGGACCAGGGCUUCCGGGAGUCGGGUUGUUUUGUAGCGCAGCCCAAAGGCGGGCGGUAAACUCCGCCCAAGGCUAAACACCUGCACGAGACCGAUAGAGCACAAGUACCAUGAGGGAAAGU